GGGUCCCAGUGGGGCGCAGUUUUGGACAAUUGGUUUACGGGCAGACCUCCACGAGGCUUGAUAUAAAGUGGUAGAAAAUCAACGAGCAUCUGUCGUUCUGUGGCACCACAGUCAAAAACUCUGGAAUCAUCAGUGCAGCUGAAUCAAUUUUAAACGAAUUAAUCAACGAACGUUAACAGCUUGAAAGGACGCAUAGUGGUUUAAACCUGUACUGCCGUUCCAAACCUGAAAGUCACUCGGAACACGAGAUACACUAUUGGAGGAACUUUGUACGGAAAGGAAAAAAAAACCCUGCAAAUAAUUUGAAUAAACGGAAGAAUCAAUAUUUUCAAAUCAAACUGACACCGCGAAUAACGAGCAGUCAACUUCAAAGAGAAUCACGUAACCACACUCACGGAAACAACAGCAAACCACUUCAAAACAGUUCUCACAAAUUUGGAGGCGUGUCUUUAAAACAAAAACCACGGAUAAGUAAACACAUGGUGCAAUAGCGGUACUGAGAAAAUACAGACGCACGCCAGUUCUAAGUCUUAUGGGACAGACGGACAGAUACACGACAGCGGGGUAAAGAAGGAGAACAAAGGUAAUUGGAAGGAACGGUUCUUGCAAUCCGGACCCUGUGUCAUUGAUCAUGGGAUGUCAGUCAGACAGGGAGUGAAUAAUUGGGCUAUUACAGCAGAUGGCAUGCUACAGAGAUAUAAAUGAUUGUCAUUGCUUCGGUCGAUGGAACCAGUGAAUCUAAUGGCGCUUCAUCUCCGAUAAUUAGCCUUAUGAAUGUUCUGGCUUUGCAGCACACAAUGAGAAGGUUGCAAAAGCGAUAUAAGCAAAAUCAUUUGAUCAAGAGGUGAUGAUUUGUAAUUCAUAGCUUUCGCUUGGUCAUCAAGAUAUUUCUUUAGAAAUUGACCUGUGUUAUAAAAUUAUAUUUUUUAUGUCUCAUUGUAGUUUUUAAAGAGAAUUCGUCGUUCAAAGUGAGUAACAUGAACGUAUCAGAGGGAUGU